rnacentral:lncRNA from 1 species
AUGGCGCAAGGCCAAAAUGUGCCAAAUCGCGUAGAACAACUUCUAAUUAGAGUUUGUAGUGUGAGUAAUAUGAUUACUGAUUCAUAAUAAGGAAGAAGGUUCAUAGAAAUUUUCAUUUCACCAACUUCCUGUGAAUCAAGUCUUAUUUACUCUAUACAUUGGUUCAUAGUCCAAAAGACACCAGUGUUAACGCACUGCAUUCUUAUAUUUCUUACUCAAUUUAUUUUAUUUGUACUUUGUAAUAUGUGGGGGAU